GACAGAGGGGGCAAGCGUUGUCCGGAUUGACUGGGCGUACAGCGCGCGCAGGCGGCUGUGGACGUGCCCUGUGACAGGCGGAGGCUCAACCUCCGACGGCCAGGGUAGACGCCACGACUAGAGGCAGGGAGAGGGCAGUGGAAUACCCGGUGGAGCGGUGAAAUGCGUAGAGAUCGAGAGGAAGGCCAGAGGCGAAAGCGACGACCUGGGGAGGAACUGACACUGAACUACGAAAGCGUGGGGAGCAAACAGG
rnacentral:rRNA from 1 species